CCCUGUUAGAAAGCACCGGCUAACUCCGUGCCAGCAGCCGCGGUAAUACGGAGGGUGCAAGCGUUGUUCGGAAUUAUUGGGCGUAAAGGGCGUGUAGGUGGCAUUUCAAGUCUGGUGUGAAAGCCCACGGCUCAACCGUGGAACUGCAUUGGAAACUGAAAAGCUCGAGUAUUGGAGGGGGUCGCGGAAUUCCCGGUGUAGAGGUGAAAUUCGUAGAUAUCGGGAGGAACACCAGUGGCGAAGGCGGCGACCUGGCCAAUUACUGACACUGAGACGCGAAAGCGUGGGUAGCAAACAGGAUUAGAUACCCUGGUAGUCCACGCCGUAAACGAUGGGUGCUAGCCAUAUCGGGUGUUGACCCUUAGGUGUGGCGAAGCCAACGCGUUAAGCACCCCGCCUGGGGGAGUACGGUCGCAAGAUUAAAACUCAAAGGAAUUGACGGGGGCCCGCACAAGCGGUGGAGUAUGUGGUUUAAUUCGAAG
rnacentral:rRNA from 1 species